GGAGGGUGCGAGCGUUGUUCGGAAUUACUGGGCGUAAAGAGCGUGUAGGCGGCUUGGCAAGUCGAAUGUGAAAUCCCCGGGCUCAACCCGGGAACUGCAUCCGAAACUUCCAGGCUAGAGUCCCGGAGAGGAAGGCAGAAUUCCCAAUGUAGGGGUGAAAUCCGUAGAUAUUGGGAGGAAUACCAGUGGCGAAGGCGGCCUUCUGGACGGUGACUGACGCUGAGACGCGAAAGUGUGGGGAGCAAACAGGAUUAGAUACCCUGGUAGUCCACACCGUAAACGUUGUGCAUUAGGUGUCGGGGGUAUUCACCCCCCUCCGGUGCCGGAGUUAACGUUUUAAAUGCACCGCCUGUGAAGUACGGCCGCAAGGCUA
rnacentral:rRNA from 1 species